rnacentral:lncRNA from 1 species
GUCCCUUCUAACAUUUGUUUAAAAUAUUUAUUUAUUGUUGGGUACAAGAACUAAAACCAAUUAGCAAAUAUUUUUGUUUGUCAGUAUUGCUCAAUGACUAUUUAUUCAUAAUGGUGUUUUUUUUUUCUUCUGUUUCAUACUAUGAUUCUAUGUUAUCUUCAUGAUCUUAUCAAUAAGAAUCAAUAAACUCCCAUUCUAAAAAUUUUAUAGCGCCAUCUAGCCUUCAACCCAAUUACGACGUCAAAUGACGUCAAAUAAUAUAUGACGUAACGAUGACGUUUUAUGAAAAAGAUGGAUACAAAGAAAACAACAAAAUA